UGGGGAAUCUUGCACAAUGGGGGCAACCCUGAUGCAGCGACGCCGCGUGAGCGAUGAAGGUUUUCGAAUCGUAAAGCUCUGUCCUAUGGGAAGAUAAUGACGGUACCAUAGGAGGAAGCCCCGGCUAACUACGUGCCAGCAGCCGCGGUAAUACGCAGGGGGCGAGCGUUGUCCGGAAUUACUGGGCGUAAAGGGUUCGCAGGCGGCAUGGCAAGUCCGAUGUAAAAGGCGAAGGCUCAACCUUCGUAAGCAUCGGAAACUGUCAAGCUUGAGUGAAGGAGAGGCAAGUGGAAUUCCUAGUGUAGCGGUGGAAUGCGUAGAUAUUAGGAGGAAUACCGGUGGCGAAGGCGACUUGCUGGACUUCAACUGACGCUGAGGAACGAAAGCGUGGGUAGCAAACAGG
rnacentral:rRNA from 1 species